rnacentral:tRNA from 1 species
CCGGGGCGAGGGAGACGGCUAACCCGCCUGCUUUGGGAGCAGGACAUACCGAGUUCGACUCUCGGGCCCCGGAC